UACGGAGGGAGCUAGCGUUGUUCGGAAUCACUGGGCGUAAAGCGCACGUAGGCGGAUCUUUAAGUCAGGGGUGAAAUCCCGAGGCUCAACCUCGGAACUGCCUUUGAUACUGGCGAUCUCGAGUCCGGGAGAGGUGAGUGGAACUGCGAGUGUAGAGGUGAAAUUCGUAGAUAUUCGCAAGAACACCAGUGGCGAAGGCGGCUCACUGGCCCGGUACUGACGCUGAGGUGCGAAAGCGUGGGGAGCAAACAGG
rnacentral:rRNA from 1 species